rnacentral:rRNA from 1 species
GCUCAGAUUCAACGCUGGCGGCAGGCUAACACAUGCAAGUCGAGCGAACCCUUCGGGUUAGCGCGGACGGGUGAGUAACGCGUGGGAACGUGCCCUUCUCUGCGGAAUAGGCUCGGGAAACUGGGUUUAAUACCGCAUACGCCCUUCGGGGAAAGAUUUAUCGAGAAGGAUCGGCCCGCGUCUGAUUAGGUAGUUGGUGGGGUAAUGGCCUACCAAGCCUACGAUCAGUAGCUGGUUUGAGAGGAUGAUCAGCCACACUGGGACUGAGACACGGCCCAGAGUCCUACGGGACGCAGCAGUGAGGAAUCUUGGACAAUGGGGAAACCCUGAUCCAGCCAUGCCGCGUGGCAGUGAAGGCCUUAGGGUUGUAAAGCUCUUUCAGUCGUGAAGAUAGUGACGCUAGCACAGAAGAAGCCCCGGCUAACUCUCCGUGCCAGCAGCCGCGGUAAUACGGAGGGGGUCAGCUUGUUCGGAAUUAUCGGGCGUAAAGCUGACGCGCUAGGCACUAUAAUCGGGGGUGAAAUCCCGGUUCUCAACCCCGGAACUGCCUUCGAUACUGGUAGUCUAGAGUUCGAGAGAGGUGAGUGGAAUUCCGAGUGUAGAGGUGAAAUCUGUAGAUAUUCGGAGGAACACCAGUGGCGAAGGCGCUCUACUGCCUCGAUACUGUACGCGAGGUGCGAACAGUGGGGAGCAAACAGGAUUAGAUACCUGGUAGUCCACGCCGUAAACGAUGAAUGCCAGUCGUCGUCAAGCAUGCUUGUCGGUGACACACCUAACGGAUUAACGAUUCCGCCUGGGGAGUACGGCCGCAAGGUUAAAACUCAAAGGAAUUGACGGGGGCGCACAAGCGGUGGAGCAUGUGGUUUAAUUCGAAGCAACGCGCAGAACCUUACCAACCCUUACAUCCUGAUCGCGGUUUUCCGGAGAAUUCCUUCAGUUCGGCUGGAUCAGUGGCAGGUGCUGCAUGGCUGUCGUCAGCUCGUGUUGUGAAAUGU